rnacentral:lncRNA from 1 species
UACUUCUUGAGGCCAUUCAUGCUUCACACCCAUGGUAAUGAACAGAGAAUCAUUGCCUGUUUCCUGAGCAGAAGCUGAGGGAUGAUUUAUAGGACAGUUUAAUUUUGAGAUCUUGCUUCUCUACUGCUUUACCAGACCAGAAGGGCAACAUCUGUCUAUCUAACAAGGAAAGGUUUCCACCACACCAAGAGGGUAGCACCUACCAGAUCAGGAGAGUCUGACCUGUCUACUCAACCAGAAGGGUGGUACUUGUCUAUCAGAACCAGAGGUUUUUGUCUACCCAGCAACCAGGAGGAUUCCUCUGCCUACCAGACCAGAAGAACAGCAUUUUCCAGAGCCUACAGCAAAAAACAUAAAUGAAUGUAUUUGGUUUGUCUACUUGCUUUAAAAAUCAUAUUAUGGGAAAUGCUGAUGAUUCAAUAUCCAUAGAGCCAUUUAUAUAUUUUGGUAUGAAAGUAUAGAUAUGAGAAAACAACCCCCUGAAUGGAAACUAAUUAUACUUGUAUAUGCAGUAAGAGGUCAGAGUAAGAGGUUAUGAGUACUUAUUGCUCUCUAGAAUUUAGUUUCAGGUGGUGAAUAUAUUCUAUGCACAGCAUUUUAAGGAAAGCCAUGGGAUAAAUACAUUUGUCCAUAGACUGGCUCCACUAAAAUGUCUAAUGUGGUUUUUUUUUUUCUUGAAAACAUAAUAUGAGGAGGUGAAGCACUUUGCAAUGUCAGAAAUUUAAAAUAGUUACGUUAAAUUUCAGCUUUAUUCCAAAAAUGUGAUUAUGUAGUAGACAUACCAAAAAACUCGUCACAGUAAGGUCCGUCAGUAAAAUAUGAGGGUUAAUACAACACAAAUACAGACUUUCUCACUCAUCUAGUUCUAACUAGAAAAUAAAAACUAUUUCUAUGGGAGAAAAGUCAUUUUUAAAGAUAAAUACCAUAUACUCUAUAAGAAUUGGCAAAAACACAGAACUAGCGAUUUAUGUAUUCAUUUAUAUGCCCCAUGUUAUCACUUAGAGAUUUGAGCUGAGCUGUGUCCAGAGUACAUAUUUUUAGUUAAAUGUAAAUCAAAGUAGAAAAUUAAGAUCAAGGAGAAGACAAAUAUAGAAACCAAAAGGAAAUGCUAGAGCAUCAGUUCAGUUUACACAAACAAGUCAUUUUUCCACUCAAUUACUAUACUCCCCCUUAUGUAUAUAUAUUAUUAGGGACUGUCCUACAUAGUGCAGGAUGUUUAUUAUCUCUAGUUUCUGCCCUAAAUGUCAGUAGUGUUUCCUGGCUAUAAUGACAACUGCAAAACCCUUCCACAAAUUUUCUAAAACUCUCUAGGUACCGACCCUGCUAAGCACUACUAAAAUAAUCGAUGUGGUGACUACAUGAUAGGUGCUAGGAAAAGUAGAAGGGAAAUAUAAUCCGUACCCUCAGGAGACCCACAGUUCAGUUGAGAAGACAUGAAUGAAAUGGUAACAGAAUGCUAAACAUUGUGAUGGAGCUCUUUUCCUGGCACUGUGGUAGUACCGAGGCCCAGGAGUUAAGUCAGCCUUGGGAAGGGUCAGGGUAAGUUUCCUGGAGGAGUUAAUUAUUGAGCUGAGCUUUGAAGUUAAGCCAGGUAAACAAGAGGGAGGACAGAUGCUCAAGCCAAGGAAAUAACUCCUGCAAAGCCACAGCCUGGGCGUAAAGGUAGUAAGGAAGGCUGAGGCCGGAUGGUGGUGUAUCCUUUAUGCUCUGCUCAAGGGUCCAUUUCAACCUGAAGGCGAUUUGACAGUACCAGCCAGAAAUGAUGUUGUAUGUUUGCCACACCACUAUCUCAGGCUCCCCUGCAGUUAGCAUGUGGAAGGGAUAUAAGCCACUUCCAGGCCUGGCCCCUGAGAGCCUCCCCUGCCUAGGGUUGGAGGUCACAUGAUCCCGAUCGCAAAGCUCCGAGAUAAGAGAGGACCCUCUGACUCCCAUCAGGUAGCGAGGAGUAAAUUUUGAUUGUCUUAAGCCAGCAAGGUUUGGGGAGGAUCCGUCAGAAUUUUUUCAGGAAACCAAUCACCCCAGAUGGUUCACAUGAAGAGACUUUAAUGGAGGAAAUACUUUCCGAGGUGUGGACAGGGGACGGGAAGAAACAUGGGAGGCAGGAAGUUGUUUCUUUCCCAGAAUUGAAGGGGCAGAGAGGAAAAGUGUUAUCAGAGCCCUGGGAGCUGGUGCCAAGGAGGAAGAGCUGCCCGGCAGGAGCUCUGGUCAUGAAAAGACACAACCACUGCUAGUAGAAGGGGGAGAGCAGGGAAGAAAUCUCCUGACCUAGCUCUUCUCCUGUGCUUCAGCCUCCUGAGAAGGUGUCCCCAUUGGCCAAACUCAAGCAGAAUGCAGCCUCAAGGAAGCUCAGGUGAUAUGGUACACAGCCUCCAGGGGCACAAAAUAGUUCAGUCAAAGAAGGAGAAUGGCUGGGGGAGGGGUGCAGGGGGGGUCAAGAGAACAAGCAGUUCAUUUGUCUGUUGUGGCCAUUAGCUUUAAUUACUCUAACAUAAAUCACUGAUGGAUUUUUCAGCAGAUUAUUUUUUUCAUUUUUAUGGCUGCACUCGUGGCAUAUGGAAGUUCCUGGGCCAGGGACUGAAUCCAAGCCACAGCUGCAACCUUCACUGGAGUUGCCGUAUCCUUUAACCCACACCAGGCUAGGGAUGGAACCCACACCUCCAUAGCGACCUAAGCUGCUGAAGCUGGAUUCUUAUCCUACUGCGCCAAGGUGGGAACUCCUCAGCAGACUUUUAGAAUAAGUUUUAUUGAAAUAUAAUUUAUGUACCAUAAAAUUGAUCCUUGGUUUUUAGUAUAUUCAAAGUUGUGUAUUCAGCCAUAAUAUCUGAUUCUAGAAUAAUUUCACCCAUUCCCCAUCCCCCACAAAAAAAAUCCAACACCCAUAAGCAGUGCCUCCCCAUCCCCACUUUCCCAGCCACUGGCAACCACCAAUCUACUUUCUGUUUCAAUCAAUUUGCCUAUUCUGGAUGUUACAUAUAAAUGGAACCACAAAAUAUGGUGGCUUUUCAUGUCUGGCUUCUUUCAUUUAAUGUACUAUUUUCAAGGUUCAUCCAUGUGGUAGUGAGUAUUCUUUUUAUUGCUAGCUAAUAUUUCAUUGCAUAUACUAUCAAAGAUAACAGCUAUACAGAGAAUGGGUUGGAGCGAGCCAAAAAUCAACGGCAAGGGGAUAUAUGUAAGUUGGGGAGCGAUCACAUUCACUGACAACAUCCUCUCGAAGUAUUUUCAGACCAAGAAAUAAGUUAGAGAAAAUAAAACAGCACUCUUCAUUUCCUAGCUUCUACUUCAAUGAAUGGCACCAUUGUCUGCACAGCAUCUGAGAGUCAGGUUAGAAACCCCCAUUUCCCUCACCCUUCACAUUAGAGCACUUUUUCCUGUGCAUCUUACCUCUUGAAAUGGGUCCUCUUCUGUACAUGCUGACUGCCUUGGUUGAGAAGCCCCAAUGAGUCAUGUUGAACUACCAUAACUGCCUAACUAGCAUCCUUUGUGCAUGGUGCCCGCUAGCUCCAUCACCAAGAGGAGCAACCAUGACAAAAGAUGGACGAACAGGAAGGGCAGUGCCUUAUCUCACAUCUGAGGUAGGAAGCAGAAACUUAUAGCUGUUGAUAGCCUCGUUCCUUCCUCCUUUCAUCCAAUUAGUGCCUUCAGGGAGCCCACAGACUCUUCCUUUUAGCAUAAUGAGUUCUGCCCUGCCAGUUUUAAGGUGAGUGUUUGGCUAAAAUUCUAACAUCUGGGGUUCAGAGAACAGAGCUUCUUUGGCUUGACAUUAUGCUCUGUCUUCUCACAUAGCCACAAUUAUAAUGAUGAUGAAUUUUUGGAGUUCCCACUAUGGCGCAGUGGUUUAGGAUUCGGUGUUGUCUCUGAGGCGGGUCAGAUUGCUGCAGAGACACAGGUGCCAUCCCCGGCCUGGAACGGUGGGUUAAGGAUCCAGCAUUACCUCAGCUGUGGCAUAGGUCGCAGCUGUGGCUCAGAUUCAAUCCCUGACCCAGAAACUUCCAUAUGCACAGGUGCAGCCAAAAAAAAAAAAAAAAAAAAAAAGAUCAAUUUUUGCUUCUAUUGAUUACAAAACUUUUCAGAUUUUUUCCUCAGAACUUAAGGACUUCAGCAAAUACCAAAUUUACUGUUUUUCAGUAGCCAAAUGCAAAGGAAUUGUGAUUAUGUAAUUUUCAUUAAUAAAAGGAAGAGUAAAACC